rnacentral:rRNA from 1 species
GACGAACGCUGGCGGCGUGCUUAACACAUGCAAGUCGAACGGAAAGGCCCUGCUUGCAGGGUACUCGAGUGGCGAACGGGUGAGUAACACGUGGGUGAUCUGCCCUGCACUUCGGGAUAAGCCUGGGAAACUGGGUCUAAUACCGGAUAGGAGCCAUUUUUAGUGUGAUGGUUGGAAAGUUUUUUCGGUGUAGGAUGAGCUCGCGGCCUAUCAGCUUGUUGGUGGGGUAAUGGCCUACCAAGGCGGCGACGGGUAGCCGGCCUGAGAGGGUGGACGGCCAAAUUGGGAAUGAGAUACGGCCCAGACUCCUACGGGAGGAAGAAGGGGGGAAUAUUGCAAAAUGGGCGAAAGCCUGAUGCAGCGACGCCGGGGGGGGGAUGACGGCCUUCGGGUUGUAAACCCUUUUCGCUAGGGAAGAAGCUUUUUGGGACGGUACCAAGAUAAGAAGCACCGGCUAAAUACGU